CUCAAGUGCUGCAAGUUUCCUGUGAGAAUUUCCUCUUCUUGAACUACCGAGCGCCUCCCAGCACGCCUGUCUUAUCAUCCAGGCACUACCUUUAAUUACACUCUGUGGAAGUUAACACACAGCCGUCGGCUCUCACAGCAGCAGCAGUUGAUGCAGCAUCAUUAGCAGUUCUGGCAGCCCACCGAGAAAUAAUUACACACAUAAUGGAACCACAACAGCGAUGACAGGCUCAGCACACAGCCAUGUAAUCAAGGGAACAUGUAGGGCUUCUGGACACAAGAAGUGGCACGGACCAACCAGGCCUGUGGCACAGCAGGGAGGAGCAGCCGUCAUCCCGAUAACGGUACAUCAGCACAGAGGGCAGAGCAGCCCUUUCCAAUUCCUCUGGCCCAUCCGCAGGUUGGCGCAGCCAUUUCUUAAUUCUCUAACACUGCUGCCUUGUUCUGUUAUGUUCUGAUUUCUCCUCCCUAGAGCACUUUUUCCCUUUCUUGGUCCUGCUUUGCCAGCUACACUUCUAUCUUCUAUAUCCUACAGAUCAUCAUCUCAUGAAUUCCAUUACUGUCCACUGGAAAUGUCUUUUUUUUUUCCUCCCAAUUUUAAACAAGUUUUUACAUACCUAGGAAUCAUACGCAUCCUCCCCUAAUUACCUCACUGUAGUUAGCAGAGUGUAACCCCUCCAUUGUAAGCAAUACCUCUGUUCCCACAGACCGCAUUUUUCCUCUUCGUUGACUCCAGCUAUUUUACAUGUUUCCCAUGACACAGCACAAUAUUGGGCAUUGUAUCUGCAGUGGAACUGCCCCACAACUUGCUUGGGCAGCCGCCUUUUCUGGGUCAUUUCACAGCAAAUGGUUACUUGCUCAUUAGCACACAGCCCCAUGGCUGAGGCUACAGCCUGAACCGAGCGUUCUGUGGAGCAUUUUGUACAUUUGCAUUUUUAAAUUCAAUACUACAUACUGCAGCAAAUGCAUGAGUAUUUGUACCACUGCUUCUUGAAGUUUGGCAGGUAGGUGUCUUUUACGUGUUUAAAGCAAACAGCAUUACGUCAAGCAGCACAGGUUGCAUAACCUCCCCUUUCCCCACAUUCUCUACAGCUGCAGACAGAUCAUUUUUCCUUUAAUAAUCACAUCACUUUUGCAGUUGUUGUUAAGAUAUAACUGCAGGAAUAUUGAUAUGGUGGAACCCUCAGCUGCAGGGAACCAACACUACAGCAGCACACAAUCACUAUUUAACUCACAACAGACUGCAGUGAGGUACAGAUCACCUGGAACCUGAAUCCAAUGACUGUAACACAAGUCACCUUAGCAGAGAUCUUCAAAAUAGCUCCUGAUUACAGAUAUUUGGAGACAUUCUUUGAUUCAAAUGAGGAUUGCCAAACAUAUAUUCCAGACUCUGCCUUGAAUAAAGCAGAAUAUCUCAGCUGCUGCAAGCUCAGUAACACUGAAAUUCUAUUGUUUGGUCCAGAAUGCAUCUUUUAUCUAUUUAUCUAUCUAUCUAUAUAUAUAGAUUUAUUUAAGAGACAGACUCUAGAGUUCAUAUAUAUGAUCUGAAGCAUAGAAGUGCUACUAAGCACUGAGUCAAAAUCCUUCUCUUUGUACAAAGCCACAUGAACCUCUUUAUCCCUCCAAACAUGUAACUGUAACACACACCACACAAAGGAAAUACUGUGCUAUGGAAGAAGAGCAAUUGAGGCAUCAGCAGAAAAGCAUGGAACUCCACAAUAAGUACAGAAGCACUUAAUAUCAUUGGGAAUUAGGUAUGUAAAGGUAUCUAAGCACCAUUGUGAACCUGGGUGUAAGAUCAUUUACUUUCUUUUUUCUUUUUUAAAGCUCAUAAGGCAUCUUCAACAUGCAUGAAACUCAUGACCAUCAGGCAUCAAAGAGAAUCCCUAAUGUGGGCAGAGGGGACAGGAACACUGCAGGCUCACUGCACGCUGCUCUGGGUUUGGAUCACACGCAAAAUGAAUACAAGGCCUAUAUUUGCCUGUUCUCGUUUCAAGUGAGAGUGUCUCAGUGACAGAUCAUAAUUCAUAAGUAACAAAAUUACUUGGAGAUUAUUUUUAUUGCAAAUAUUUGUUUUACAGUGAAUCAGUACUCAUUAAUAACAGCAGCUGAAAAGAACUUUUAUAGCUGAAAAGGGUUCUUUCAUAGAAAUUCUUGGAAAAAAUUACCAGAAUUCAUGUACUGAACUUUGUUAAUACAGUAAGAAAAAGUUGCCCAUCAUUUUAAUUUCUCAGGCUUCAGAAUCUCUUUACAAGAAAAAUGAAGUAUUUUGAGAUCAAAAAGAACUUCUUUCAUCUAUUUUGUAACCAUAAAUUUGCAACUCAUGAUUUGGAAGGCAUGGAUCUCCUGCAACUCUUCCACGAUGCCAUUCCAAAAGGUUUCUUAGAUUACUUAUCUUCACGUUGAUCAUUUGGACUUGGUCAAGUUGUACUUCCUUUUGGCUCUCUUAUAUUUCACUUUUAGGGUUGGUUAUAAUCUAUAGAGCAUUUCAAUCAUUCUCUUAAAGCUCUUGCUCUUA